rnacentral:rRNA from 1 species
AUACAGAGGGUGCGAGCGUUAAUCGGAAUUACUGGGCGUAAAGCGCGCGUAGGCGGCUUAUUAAGUCAGAUGUGAAAUCCCCGGGCUCAACCUGGGAACUGCAUCUGAUACUGGUAAGCUAGAGUUUUGGAGAGGGAAGUAGAAUUUCAGGUGUAGCGGUGAAAUGCAUAGAGAUCUGAAGGAAUACCAGUGGCGUAGGCGACUUCCUGGCCAAAAACUGACGCUGAGGUGCGAAAGCGUGGGUAGCAAACGGGAUUAGAAACCCCUGUAGUCC